rnacentral:lncRNA from 1 species
GAAAGGAAAGAAGAGAGUUUCCUCUCUUUCAAUGGUAGUGGAUGACAAUGAGGGAAAAUAUGAGUAAAAUGUUUGGUUUUUUUUCUUCUUUUUUUUGUCAAAAGCCAUACUGGUCAAAGGUCAACACAAUUCAUGGCUAUUAUCUCAUCCUUAUCUUUAAAGUCUAGCUUGAUACUAGGUAUAUGCCAACCUUAAAUAAAC